GGACCUUUUAGUUCAGGUUCAGUCGUGUUCGUAACGUCGUCGAGUUGAAACCGAAAAAGCUAGGCAGUUUCUCACAGCUACAUAUACAUAUGAGCAGGCAGCAGCAGCAGCGGCAGAGCAGAGAGCAAAUCGGUGCAAUCUUGAAUACGGAAGUCUAAUCCAAUUUGGCCUAUGACAAUACAAACGCACUUUCUUCGCUACGCAUUGUCCAGGUGCGUGUGCGUAUAGAGAGAGCGAGCGAGAGGGAUAGCGGACGAGCAAGCGAGAGGUUAAAUAUUUAGGUUUAACAGCCAGGCGCGUGUGUGUGACCCAUGAGAAGUUGUUGAAAAUAAUCAACGCCAAUCGCCGGAGAACGAAAGCAGAGAAACCCCUACGCGCGCGUGUUUAAUUUGUAUUUUUGGCACUUUGGUUGGCAAACAGCAAAAGCAUUUCCCUAUGAUUGGCUCAUUCUGGAAUCUGUGCAGAGCGUGCCCAUCAAUGCCGGUAGACAAGCAGCUCCACUCGGAGUAUCGGAGCACUUAUCGCUGGCAUGAAUUUACGGGCAACUCGCGGCCAGAGGUUGUGCGACGGGCGCCUGCCCCAAACCCAAGUCAAUUUGUUGGAGCGACAAAUGAACCGCCAUUGCCGCGCCGGAAAAAAUGCCCAGAAUUAGCAUAUAAAUCGCACGAGUUCAUUAUAGGAUCGGAGUAUACAGAUGGACGCCGGGAUGCCAGUGCACAUCGUUUGGCGAGAUCGGAGGAGCGCGGUGGCACACCCUCGCGCCGCAGCAAAUCGGAGGGACCACCCGUUGUGCCCAAUGGACGUGCGUAUCCCAUUGCCACGGAGAUCGACGGAACCACAAGAAAACAGGCGGGUGAGUCAAAUGGGCUAUUGAAAAAGACCAUCAAUAAGUUGAGCACUGAGUACCGCCUGCAAUUCGUGUGGCCCACAGUCCGACGCAUAAAGGGCGGCGGCGAGGCGGCGUCUAGGGCCGCAGCCGGGGACUAUCCGAGAAAGUCCAUAUCGCUGGGCGUCCUUCGGUCCGGGGGCCAAGGUCACAGUCACACCCAAAACCAGAAUCAGAGUCAGAGUCUGACCCAAGCCCAGAAUGGUCACACACAUCACACGAUGAUGGGUGGCGGUGUGGGCUUGCCGACGGUGCAUAAAAAACGAACAACAAAUCAGAAAGAAGCUACUCUACAUGAGUUGGAGCCCUUGGUUAGCGAUACGGAUGAUAGAAAAACGCACGAGAAACAAGUGACCAUUGUGGAGCGCAAGAUCACCUCGCGUCCGUUUUCGCAGGCCAUCGACCAGGAGCGUCUGAACCACUUCAUCACGAAAAAGGAGAACUUUGGCUUCGCCGAUGCCGCCGUGGCCGCCGCGGCCCUUAAGGACGAGGUGGACAACAGGCAGCAAGUGGUGGUCAUGAACGGCUCCGCCCCGCCGCACUCGAAACCGAAUUUGGAUUUGUGGUUCAAGGAGAUGGUGGAGCUGCGCAAGAAGGCCGGCGAAUACAAGUGUCGUGGUUGGGGCAUAGAAAUUGACCCGGAAUUGUACAAGAAACAGAAGGAUCUAUGGGAUCAGGUUUCAAAGCGCAGCUCACUUUCGGCACUUUCUUUAGCUUCGUCUGUUCACAGACCCAUUACAAAGGAGGAGAAAGAACAGGAGAACAAUAAGAAGUCCACACCAUUGGAGAAGGCCCAGAAGCCUCGUGUUCCUGGCCAAGCCUUUUUGAUUGAUAAUAAGGAUGAGAUUUCAGCACUGCCAGCACGCUUUAGCAAUAUACGCCAUCAUCUUGAACGCACCACGGGUCCGGAUGUGGAAGAGGGCGCUUUAUUGCCCUCGCCCACGCGCGAGAAGUUGAUGCCGGCUAUUACCAAGCGGGAAUCGGAAUCCCAACGAGGAAGUCCUAAGAAAACCGCCUUGUCCAGGCAUGGAUCGCCCCAGAAGGGCAGUCCACAAAAGGGCAGCCCCAAGAAGGUCCUUAAAAACGAAGGCGAGGAUGGUCGUGAGACUGCCAUUUCCAUUUCCAGCUGCAGUCCCCAACCCCCGGUGCAGGAGGUGCCCGAAGAGCCCCUGGUGAAGUCCCCACCAGAACCGACCCGGGUCAAGUCCCCAGAGCAGAUUAUAAUGCGCUCCCCCGAUCCAGUCAACUGGACGGUGCCCCUGGACACUGGCAAAACGUUUACGGUGACGCAGAAUGUUAAAGACGGGGAGAACUACAGCCGACCUCAGAGCGAGAUUAAAGCCUCGACACCGGUGGAGAAGCCCCCACCGCCACCACAAUCGGCUCCGCCACAACUAACCGAACAGGCUAAGAUGGACGCCUGGAAGUCCUGCAGUCCAAGCACCAGCGCCGCGAUCUACGGCAAAACGCUUACGCCCCAUGCCACACCCACCGGCCAGCCGGGCGGGGCGGUGCGCUGCACAGUCGCCCAAGAUCAGCCGCUUCAGCAGCCGGAUCCGGCGAUGUCGUCCUCCUCGUCGACGGGCACAGCUUCUACGGCCAGGACAGCUGCCGCCGAGGUCCUGGAGAAGGCUCGCGACCGAUUUGAUCGAUUCUGGGGCAACAGCAGCGCCAACAAGGAGGAGAGCGUCUAGAUCCCAGCUCCAAAAACCGAGAUCCUGGAUCCCAGAUCAGGCACUCAGUGCUUUUCAAGUGCAAAAUGUAUUCCCCGGGCAAUUAAUUGGCCCCUGAAAGCAAUUAUAAUACGUAAUAGAUGUUAUGCAAUACCUAAUCAUGUACACCAUCUAUCCUAUCUAAGAGCCUGAUUACACUGCAACACAGCUCUCCAUUUACAUUAAUUUACUGUAUGUAAUUAAAUCAAUUGGGUUUUUUCCUUAAUGUUUGAGUUCCAUUAUUAUUCGCACCUUUCAAAUUGAAUGUUACAUAUAAAAUCAGUUAUUAUUUUGAACCGUUACAUUCGAUAAAGUACCUUAGUAUUUUUUGUAUGUAUGAUAUUGUUAGUCAAUCCGAAAAUCAAUGGUGUUAUCCUUUUUUCUAUUAUAUUGUAAUUUUGGAUAAGUGUGUCGUAGUGAAAUCAAAACAUUAAGGGAGUCCCGCAAGAACUGGCUUGAAUUUGAAGCUAAAUUCGCUUUUGGUUUCCUAGUUAAGCUGCUGCAAGCAAACCUAAUCAGGCCAAAUGUCAUCUAACGACACGAGCAUUACACUAAAUUUAUUUAUGUAAGACACUUUCACUGCCUCAACCCAAACCGAAGACGAAACCGAACUCAAACCAAUGUUCUAUACUUUGAGAUACACCCAGAGAACUUUGCAAUAUUUCGAUAUCAUCCAGUCAUAUAAAAUAUUCAAAUGGGACAAACAUCACCGCAAAGACCCGUCCAAAAAGUGAGUCCAUUCGACAAGAGAUGUACUCACAUUUUUGUAGCUUUCAUUAAAUGAGCAACCGUAUACUUGGGUAAUGCAUAAGGUGAUCUAAGCUAAACUGCUGAUCCGUCAAAUACAAAAAAGUUGAAAAUAGAUUUUGCACAUGAACUACAAAGGGAAAAAUACCAAAAACGACAACAUGAUGUUAAGAAUAAUUUAAGAAAUACUUUGGCUAAUAAAAAUUUAAGGCAAGAGAUGAUUAAAACAUAGCAACACCCUACAGAAAACACCAGCAAAACAUACUAUUACUACACAAAAAAUGCGAAACAAUGAGAUUAUGCUUUGAAAAGCUGUGAAACUAGUUUCAGACUUGCCUACAAUUCUAAUACUCGUAUAACUAUUAUGUGAAUGUGAAAAUAGUUGACAAACAAAAAUGGAACAAAAUGGUCAAGCAAAAUGGAAAGACCUAAUCGAUUUAAUCAUGUUUUGAGUAAAAUUAGCGCUGAAUAAUUAAAACAAAUGCUUCCCGAAGGUCAAUAGCUUUGAGAAAGUUCAUGUUAUUUUAACAAGUAUUUUUUGGUUGGAUCUAGUUUUUCGAAUCUCUCAGUGUUGACAGUGUUUUAGUACAAACCAAAUACCGAUUCAAACUCAGUUUGGCAGAAACUUCGUUUGCGUAGGAGAAAUGCUUGAAUUUAUACCUUUCUUAGGAAUAAAUAAAAAAUACAAAAUCGCGUAAACUGAAGUUAAACUCCAUUACCCAUACGUUAUGUGAUUAACUUCAGUAUUGAGCUUACUUGUUGCUUGCCUAUAUAUAUUUUAAUAUAAAACUCAAAUAAACCAAACAAAAAAAUGAAGAAGAAAAUAACGCCACUUUAAUGGCAUUUAUUAAACAGUUGAGUAUUUUUAUAUGUUUUUCAUGAAUGGACCCGUUUGUUAAUUCAAAUCGAUGAGUUGAUCACUGAAUCUUAUAGUUAUCAAUUAGUCACAAUGCAUAUGGUCAAGAGCCCCUAAAACGCAAAAUCUUUAUUACGCUCAGUCUAAAAAUGGUCACCGAUUCGAUUCAAUCAAAUGCAUUAGUUAGAAAUAAAUAAGAAGCUAAACUAACUAAACUCUGGCAAUCUCAAAAACCUUAACAGAAGGACAAAUAAAUGAAAGAAACAGAAAAUGCACAUUCAUAUACAAAAAAAACUAUAUUUCCAGUUGCAAUUAAAGAAACACGGUAACCCAACUGAAUGGUAGACUCUUGAACUCAUUUAGUUUUAAAUAUCGUACUUAACAAAUUUUAGGCAACUUUAAUACGAAACUACUUAAGAACGAACUUGAUAUUAAUUCUAGCUUGUUUACAAAAGGAAAUAAAAUUAUUAACGAGACAAAAUACCAAA
rnacentral:misc_RNA from 1 species